UGUUUUCACAAAGAUGCAUUUAAUUAUUGUAUAAUUAUUACUAAUACCAGUUGUAUCAAGAUGGAGAUUCAAGCACGUAUGAGAAAAAUUGGACUGAUUGCGAAUGGGAACUAGUAAAACGUGUGCAUGGAGUUAAUUAUAGGAGAAUUUGCUAGCAAGAAAAUUUGUAUUUAAAUGGAAUAUUAAAGUAAAAUGUGCUAUUUCUAGGUUUUUAUGGCUACAAUAUGUUCUUUGUGGUUGUCACAUUAUUCCACUUUCCCAUCACUGGGGGAGCCUGUGACAACUGAUUUUACACUUUCACAUAUGUCUGAGGAAUCUGGGACAGCUGAACAGAGUUCCUCUUCUAGAAGAGUCUUUCCAAUUGUAUGAAAGCCUGAUGAAGACCUACUUGCCUUUGAUGUUUGAUGUCCAGUUUCCUCUGGUUCCUUUUGGGUAUGCAAAGGCAAAGAACAGUCUAAUUGUUGAGCAUUUGGAGUAGAUCCUGCUUUAUCACUGUGUGUUUCAUAACUGCCACCUUGCCACUGUGUUUGAGGUAAGCUCGCAAUUUCUUGAAAAUAUUCCUUCUUUGCUGUAGCUUGUUGAACGUGGACUUCAGGUUGUGGUGAAUUGCUCUCUAUUUGCUGUAACACAGACUGUACCAGAGUAAAAUCCAAUUGAGGCAGUUGUAAACUGAAGCUGUCCAGUAUACUCACUGCAAUUCCAUCAGCCAGAUCUGAGCUGAACAUGUUCCAGUUAAGGUCAUCAGUUACUGGGUCCACGUUCUACGUGUUUGAGUAGAGGAAAAAACUGUUUGAAGUGAUUUCAACAUUUAAACUACACUUUUGCAGACUCAUACUUGUGAAACUAGAAAUUAAACUGCCUCUUCAUCUUUCUGACUUCAGAAAUGUCAAAUUAUUACGUAAGUACAAUUUUAUAUUAGAAAUACAGAGAGAAAAUAAGUUUUAAACAAAUCUAAUUGAUUGUUACACUACUGCCUGGUGGUAAUUUUCUAUUUGGCCCUGCAGAUAACUAUUCUCGUAAAAGAAGUUGAGAAUUAUCCACAGGUGUGCUUCUAAGCACAAUGAAUAGUUGGACAGGAAGAAAUAAAUUUUUGUUACUAUUUGUCAGAUCCAUGUAAUAGAAACAGUGUUGAUGGGAAGGAGAAAAAGCAGGCACAGUCUGGUAAAAAAAUAAUAGCAAUUCAUGUGACUUCAAAACCUGCAACACCGCUUAACAAUGUUCUUAAGACAGAAAAUGUUGAGAAUUUCCUGGGGAGGCACCUGCUGGAUCAAAUCAUGCUAUGAAAAUUUUUUCUGAUUCAAAACUGAAUUCCCCUCAGGAUGAAUUUGAAAUAUAUAUGACAAAUAAUGUAGUAAAGAGAAUUUGGGAACUGACCCUAGGCCUAGGGCUUGAAGAGUCGAUACCCUGUUUUUGCUUGGAUGUUUUUGUAAUGUUUUGCCCAUCUAGUAGCUCCUCUGAAACAUCCUUUUCGUGAUGGGAUUUUACGGUCUGAUCACCAACAUUGCUGCUUUUAACUGUAUUUCUCUGCAACAACUUUGGAUUUUGUGAUUGGUCUAACCCAUUGUGCAUGGUCACAGCAUGGAAGGUAGUCGGUACACCAUAUGGGUAUCCAUGGUAACACAUUCCUGGAUGGCACCACAUGAGAGGUGUAGGUACAGCUGGACACUGAUGACCAAAGUAUUUUUCCCAAAGUCGUUGCUGCACUUCCUGGCCAAUGAGAGUUGUGUUUGCUAGGCUAAAAUGAGCCAUGUGCACCCCACCAGGGAACUGUGGGGCAUUGAUAUUGUCCUGGUAGUGACUCAUCCGGGAAGCUGAAGAAAAGUAAUUUGAGUGAUCAACAGCUAAUUUCUCCUGAUAAUAUUAAUACAUUGUUGAAAAUAGUGGUGAUGAGAAUAAAGGUAACCAUCAAUGAGGAUUAUUGUCUUGCUCUGCUACGUUCUCCAAAUUUGACAGUAAAAGAAAUGAAAUUGAAGUCAAAAACUUAGGAGAGUUCAGCUUUACAGGAGUUUCUCAAAUCGCACAAUGAAGCAUAUUUAGAUGUUGUUUAAAAUGUUAUAACCUUAACCGUGGUCAGGAUUGAGCCGGUACCAAUCGGUAUUUCUAAUUUCUUCCAUCGGAAGAAAACCAACGACAUUUCGUGAACCUACCUGGCUUUUAAAAAAAUCUCUAACGAUUUUGAUUUUCGUGAUCAGUCAGUUGAGUACAAGACUUAACAGUGAAUCGAUUCAAAGCCAUACGAAUUCAGUUUCUGUUCUUCUCUCUUCGUUCUUGUCGCUCGCGAAUGUUGACAGUUUGUUGAUCGAAGGCUAUGGGAACCAUGAGGUCAGUUGUCAGCUCGCGUCAAGGGCAUUUUCGUAAAGCGCGAGCUCUUCGAAGUUUGUACAAGUGUAAACUCGCUCUUUGGUUUGACUAUCUCGGUAGCAAAUAUGCCCGGGCCGCAAUUAAAUCAAUUAGCUUAUCAUAAAGCAAAUCGUGAUCGAAAGCUUCAUUUGCUGAUUAGGCGAGUUAUCAAAGGAUUGAUCAUUCUUAAACUAAUUGCGCGCGAAGAAAUGAAACGCAACAUUCCACUUCAUUUUUGUGCACAAAUAAAGCAAAAGCUGUCAAGAGCAGUUCUGUGCCAUGCAAUCGAAAAAAAUAAAACAAAUUAAUACUUACAGACAACAUAGUUUCACAGUUGUGGACUUCGUGUCCGCCAUUUUGAUAACUUGAACCCAGAGCCUCUCGAGAUACUGUAACCGUUAGCUUGUACCCAGAGACAAACUCAGGGGGUCGGGAGUCGGUAUUUUUGAGCAAAAUUAAUUUAUACAAUGCAGCACGUAUAACCCUCCGAUAGUCGCGGAGUUUGGAAAGCGUUUGUGCUGGACGUAGAGUUGAAUAUUUCUGGAAUUCACAAGCUGCGAAAGAUCAAGAAGUACCCUUCGUUUUGUUUGGAAAAUGCUGUUUAUAAGAGGCAAGCUGGAGGUAAGCCUUUAUAAGCUCCAAAAACGCCAAAGUUCACUGUACAACAAGAAGUUUGGUAUACCACCAGAUGUGAAUGGUUCCCUUUGGCAGAUUAGGCCUGAAUUGUAAUCUCAUAUUCGUUGAGUUGUUUGUAUUUAGUUUUUUUGAGACUAGUCGAGAGUGGGGAACUUGUUUGGGGUAGAACUACUGUACAAGAAAAGAUGGACGCAGUACAAUUUGCCAAAAUGCCUUACGAACUUAAGGGGGGUCCUUCUGAACUACAGACUUAGAGCAGUUGCUAAUUGAUAGCUAAAGGCAAUAUUUUGCAGGAAAGCUAUUUUAGAGUGUUUUGCAGUGCUAAAUCGUGAAUUUUAUGAGAAAAAAAACACGACUUCGCGUGCUUAACUAGUGCCAGUCGAAAACCGCGCGUAAAAAUUUUAAAUCUCUAAAACAUAGAAAAAGUGAGGAAGAGUUGCGAUUUUUCUUUUGAAUCAGAAAUAACUUAGCCUUCGUUGUAACUGUAAGUGUGGAAUUACUGUUAACACGAAAAAGAGGAAAGCUACUGUAGAAAGUCUGUUAAUACAGCUAAUGCUUGUUUAUUACCUCGUAACAUUUAUGAUAAUGCGAGUUUCAUAAAACCCAUACAUAGCAUUCAGUACCUGGAUGUUCUUAAUCUACUGACACUGAUUUAAAUUUUCGGAAUUAGGUGGCUUUUAAGUUUUAGGGGUUUUUUUUAUUCAGGUCACAUGACUGGUCAGAUAUGGCCGUGAUUUGAAACCUUUGCAGGAGUCUUAAAUGGAACUAACCUGUGCAAAAAGUUUAUCCUUAGGAGGUCUGGUUUUCAAAAUAUGAUGGUUAGAAAUCUCCCAUAGCAACAAAUUCAUGGCAAAUUGGUGGUUAAGAAGGACCCCCCUUAACCCACUGAGAUUUGUCUCUGCACUAGCAGCAUUACACAUCUAACAUUUCAAGUUUUUAGAACCUUUCUGUGCUUUUUAUGAGCCUGCAUUAAGAUUUAUGUACCAGUCAAUGAAAGCCCCGCUCCCCCCCCCCUCCACCCUGCCCCAACCCUGAGGAUAAAGUGAGGCUUCUCUCCUAAAUGGGCUUAUUUCUUAUUUCUGUUGGCUCAUACUGGAUCUAUUUCAUUUUAAAUAGUAGCCUGUAAACAAGCUAAUAUUUACAUGUCUAUGAGCAGCAAAGCUUUGAGAAAAGUGAACCUGCUCUGAUAUCUGAAAAUUUUUCAUUUCCACGCCUGAAACUGCAGAAAAAUAAGCCAUUUAAUUUUCAUUGGAAGAAUGAAGUUUGGCAGGUCACAUUUCACUGGAAAAUGUUCAAUUCUUUUACAUCAAUAUGCCAGAGCAAAUCAUAUCAGAAAACCUUUUACUCCAUAAGAAAAAGACCCUACAGGUGCAACUUCAUAAAUGAAGCUUUCACCAUCAUUCAUCAGUGCUAAGCAAAGACUUGUCUAGUAUAAUUGAGAAUUUGUUUCAACUGCAACAUAACUAUACUGCAGUUAGUCAGUUGCCAAAACCUGUGGUCCUACUUUCCUCAUUCUGCCCAUUUUCUAAUAGUGACAUUGUCCUCUCCAAUUGAUUUAUUUUGCUUCCUCCCACAGUUUCUGAUGGAAAAUGAAAAGAUUGGAGUGGAAGUGUCUGCAUCAUUAGCAAAUGGAUCUCCAAUAUCACCAGCAAGAAUAUGGUUGCUAAAACUUAUUUUUGCUUCUUACAACAAUUGUUGAUUCAUGUUGAUGGAACAGUUUGCAAAGGAUUGCGGAAAUGCAUCUCAGCUGUUUUAUGGCAACAGAUUCAAAGACAAACAUCGGAAAGCUCAGUGGAGUUACCAAGAGCGAAGCAAGACAAAGCAAAGCAAAGCAUAUUGUAAUAAAAUGACUUUUGCGAGAAAAUUAUCGGGGAAUAAUUGCUGUGUGUUUAAGUGGCCGAGGAAAAAACCCGGGAAAAAGUCCACAAAAUUGUCUUGGAUUUAAAGUCUUGGAUUAAAAAUUCUCGUUUUAAAGCGAACGAGAAAAACGUCUGAGAAAAACCUUAGUCUUUUGGACGGUAAUAUUGUCUUGAGGCAGAAAAAAUUGCGCGUUCAAAGCGACCGGAAAAAAUUCAGAAAAAACUAAGACUUUUGGCGGGAAAAAAUUUUCUUGUUUGACGAUAUUGCGCUUUUAAAA